rnacentral:rRNA from 1 species
CCCCUAGACGUUCUGGGCUGCACGCGCGCUACAAUAAUACGCACAGCGAGUAUCACCGAGCUCGAAAGGGCAAGGUAAACAAUAGAAAAGGUACUGUAAUGGUUAUAGAUCCUUGUAAUUAUUGAUCUUCAACGAGGAAUUCCUAGUAAGUAUGUGUCAUCAUCACGCACUGAUUACGUCCCUGCCCUUUGUACACACCGCCCGUCGCUCCUACCGAUUGGGUGAGCCGAUGAAACUCUCGGAUGUAGGCUAUUCAUAGCCCGCAGAAGAGAUUUGAAGCGUAGCGCUUAGAGGAAGGAGAAGUCGUAACA